rnacentral:rRNA from 1 species
CCCAGCUUUGCUGGGGGAUUAGUGGCGAACGGGUGAGUAACACGUGAGUAACCUGCCCUUGACUCUGGGAUAAGCCUGGGAAACUGGGUCUAAUACCGGAUACGACCAUCUGGCGCAUGUCAUGGUGGUGGAAAGCUUUUGUGGUUUUGGAUGGACUCGCGGCCUAUCAGCUUGUUGGUGGGGUAAUGGCCUACCAAGGCGACGACGGGUAGCCGGCCUGAGAGGGUGACCGGCCACACUGGGACUGAGACACGGCCCAGACUCCUACGGGAGGCAGCAGUGGGGAAUAUUGCACAAUGGGCGCAAGCCUGAUGCAGCGACGCCGCGUGAGGGAUGACGGCCUUCGGGUUGUAAACCUCUUUCAGUAGGGAAGAAGCGAAAGUGACGGUACCUGCAGAAGAAGCGCCGGCUAACUACGUGCCAGCAGCCGCGGUAAUACGUAGGGCGCAAGCGUUAUCCGGAAUUAUUGGGCGUAAAGAGCUCGUAGGCGGUUUGUCGCGUCUGCUGUGAAAGACCGGGGCUCAACUCCGGUUCUGCAGUGGGUACGGGCAGACUAGAGUGCAGUAGGGGAGACUGGAAUUCCUGGUGUAGCGGUGAAAUGCGCAGAUAUCAGGAGGAACACCGAUGGCGAAGGCAGGUCUCUGGGCUGUAACUGACGCUGAGGAGCGAAAGCAUGGGGGAGCGAACAGGAUUAAUACCCUGGUAGUCCAUGCCGUAAACGUUGGGCACCUAGGUGUGGGGGGGACAUUCCCACGUUUUCCCG